rnacentral:lncRNA from 1 species
CAUUUUCUGUGUGCAAUUAAUUUAAGAUCUGCUUUCUCUUUCUUUCUCCGGCGUUCACCGUCUUUUCCGUUUUCCGCUUCAAAAAAUAAGGAAAAAAAAAACGGCGAAGGAAUUUUAAAUCUGGUCCGAUUCCUGUUGCAUUACUUCUACAACUCCUGGGUGUUCGAGUUUGAUUUCGAUUUUCAGAAAUUGAAGCUGCGUUUUGUUGAUUCGGCUUUCGCUGAG